AGAGUUUGAUCAUGGCUCAGGAUCAACGCUGGCGGCGUGCCUAAUGCAUGCAAGUCGAACGGGGUGCCUUUCGGGGUACUUACGUGGCGGACGGGUGAGGAACACGUGGGCAAGCUGCCCUGGGGUGGGGGGUAGCCGCCGGAAACGGCGGGUAAUUCCGCAUGUGGUCACGCUUCAGUGGGGAGCGUGAGGAAAGGGUCUUCGGACUCGCCCCGGGAUGCGCCUGCGGCCGAUUAGCUGGUUGGUGGGGUAACGGCCUACCAAGGCGGUGAUCGGUAGCUGGUCUGAGAGGACGGCCAGCCACACGGGGACUGAGACACGGCCCCGACUCCUACGGGAGGCAGCAGCAAGGAAUUUUCCGCAAUGGGCGAAAGCCUGACGGAGCAACGCCGCGUGGGGGAGGACGCCCUUCGGGGUGUAAACCUCUUUUCUUGGGGACGACGCAAAGACGGUACCCGAGGAAGAAGGACCGGCUAACUACGUGCCAGCAGCCGCGGUAAUUC
rnacentral:rRNA from 1 species